AGUUGGCAUCACUUUGCUGACUAGGAGUGGCAAGACUGGGUGAUAGUGACUCAUCGCUCAGGCUAUACGCAAUCGCCAUCACUGCAAAUGUUAUAGCGCACAGGAAGAUGAGACCUGUUGACAUUAGUUACUGUUGCGGAAGACUGGGACGGGUUGCCACAGCAAGUCGCUGUUCCACACCUGGUAACCUCUGGGAGGGAACAGACCCGCCAGGAGCAGCUCGGCACUCAUGACUAGUCGGGACUCGUCCUUAGUGUAAGCCAUCACCUGCUCUGGGAGAUUUCCUUCUGACUUCUUGCGGGCCAAUCCCCUGACAUGACAAACAAUUGUAUUUACUUCAAAAAGUACAUUUAUAAGUGCAGGAAUUAAGUAUCAAGAGUCAAACUGUUGACAAACCGCAUGACUCACAAAGUCCUCAGUACCUGAGUGAGAGACUGCGUUUUGGGAAGAGAUCUCGCAAAGUGUCAGCCGCAACCGGAAGCUUUACUUCCGUAGUGUGAAGUUUGAGUUAGGCCGAAAAAGUUUUCCUAUGUUUGGCCGACAUUGUAUGGUGACCUUACUGGUUUCCUGUUUCCGUAAGUCCUUUACCAGUAGUUGUUUUAAAAAGAAUGUAAAAUUUUACUUGAGUCGUCCUGAAUACCAAUUUCUAAAUGAGGAACGCUUGUAAAUAAAGGUAUUUUUAUUUAUUCAUUUAUUUAUCAAUCCCAUGAGGGACUUUAAUAACACCUGUAUAUAAAUCAAUCUAUACAUACUACAUAAUUGUGUAAUUAAAAUAUUACCUGAACAUGGUGUUGGCCUUCCUGUGGACCACUGUGUAGUUCCAGGA